UACAGAGACCUCAAGCGUUAUCCGGAAUUAUUGGGCGUAAAGCGUUCCGAUCGGUGGUUUGGUAAGUCUUUGGUGAAAGUUCCGAGCUUAACUCGGGGAUUGCCAAGGAAACUAUCAGACUAGAGGGGCAAAGGGGGAGCUGGAACUCUUGGUGUAGCGGUGAAAUGCGUUGAUAUCAAGAGGAACACUCAAAGCGAAGGCAGGCUCCUGGGUGCCACCUGACACUGCUAGGACGAAAGCGUGGGGAGCGAAUGGG
rnacentral:misc_RNA from 1 species